UGUAAAAAAUAUAGCCAUGCGGUACACCGCGGGUUAAAUUCUAGUAUAGAAC
rnacentral:sRNA from 1 species